CCUACGGGGUGCUGCAGUGAGGAAUAUUGGUCAAUGGGCGUAAGCCUGAACCAGCCAAGUCGCGUGAGGGAUGAAGGUUCUAUGGAUCGUAAACCUCUUUUAUAAGGGAAUAAAGUGUGGGACGUGUCCUAUUUUGUAUGUACCUUAUGAAUAAGGAUCGGCUAACUCCGUGCCAGCAGCCGCGGUAAUACGGAGGAUCCGAGCGUUAUCCGGAUUUAUUGGGUUUAAAGGGUGAGUAGGCGGCCUUUUACGUCAGCGGUGAAAGUCUGUGGCUCAACCAUAGAAUUGCGGUGGAAACUGGGGGGCUUGAGUAUGUUUGAGGCAGGCGGAAUGCGUGGUGUAGCGGUGAAAUGCUUAGAUAUCACGCAGAACCCCGAUUGCGAAGGCAGCCUGCCAAGCCAUGACUGACGCUGAUGCACGAAAGCGUGGGGAUCAAACAGGAGUAGAUACCCUUGUAGUC
rnacentral:rRNA from 1 species